UGAGGAGCAUCAGGGAGCAAGGGUCUGUAUCUCCUCCCUGGCUUCUGCUGAUGGAUCUCUCCAACUAGGGCCCUCUUCCUCCCUUUCCAGGAGGCCUGAUCAGCCUCUCCAUCAUCUCCUGGGUGACUGAACAUGAUCAGUCGGUGCAGGGGGCAGGUGGCAAGGGAGGUGGGUCCAGGCCAGCUAAGCUGCCCUAAGACUAUUAGAAGAUUCCCCAGGUGGCCGGGUGCGGUGGCUCAUGCGUAAGCCACCGGGCCUGGCCUGGUCCUUGAUCUCUUUAGUUCCAAAGAGCUUUUCUUCCACCUUACCUAGUACUUCCAUUCACUUGUGGUCCCUGAGCCACAAGUGCAGCAUCUGGGAGCUUGCUAGAAAUGCAAUGUCUCAGGCCCCACCUCAGACCUGCUGAAUCAGGAACUGUGGGCUGGGGCCAGGAGUCUGUGUUUUAACAAGCCCUCCAGGUGCUUCCAAUGCGUACUGAAGUUUGAGGAUCACCACCCUAGGCCUUGCUGUCACCAAUCUCUACUACCUCUGAAACAUUCAAACGCUGCCGUCUGUUAUCAGCACCCCACCCCUUCCAUCUGUUACUGUAAUACCUUCACUCCAAUAAUUCACUAAUCUCAUUGCGACUUCCAACCUGCUGAUCUGUUUUUAACAUCUGUCAUCUUGCUCAUCUCCUCACUCUCCUCCUUAUCUUCAUUCCAUGGCCCAGCAUUCUCUCCAUUUUGACUUUUGUGCCCCUCUCUCCUCCUAACGCCUCACUUGGCCUGGCCCUGGUUAAGGCUGUUCACUAACUAUGCAGUAACACUUUGCCUACAGUGGGGAGCCUGGACAUCAUUGGAGGACAUCAUAAAUCAUGCUGGCUGUACGCACUUCAGAUCAUGCCAGACAAUCAUACUACAUACUCUUCCUGCCGAAUUCCCUCUCCCCCUCUCUGAGAUGACUAUUCCACAGCGCUUCCUGCCCUCAAACCUUCCACUCACUCCCACACUGUUGCACACUUCACAGAGACAGAUGAGGCAGUGACUCAUCUUCCCACCAGUGUUUACCAACUUCUCUGUAUCUGUGCCCAUGUCCUCUGCCCCCUUCCGGUCUCAGUGGAAGCAGCGUGCCCUUCCCCUUGUCCCCGUCAACACCGCCACUUGUUUCCUAGAUCACAUCUCUCUUUACCUACUCGAAAGCUUCCUUCCCGCAGUUACUCCCUUUCUCUUCUGCAGCCUCCACUCAUCCCUCUCUAAUGGAUCAUUCCCGUCAGCAUUCAGGUGUGCUGUAAUAUUGCCUUUAUUAAAACAAGACAAAAAUCCUUCCUUGACCCCACAUUCAGGGCUACAUUAUGACAUUCACGGGCCCCACACGUUUUUGCCUUCAUGGGUCAUAAUACAAAUACUGAAAAAA
rnacentral:lncRNA from 10 species